rnacentral:rRNA from 1 species
GACGAACGCUGGCGGCGUGCUUAACACAUGCAAGUCGAACGGAAAGGCCCUGCUUUUGUGGGGUGCUCGAGUGGCGAACGGGUGAGUAACACGUGAGUAACCUGCCCUUGACUUUGGGAUAACUUCAGGAAACUGGGGCUAAUACCGGAUAGGAGCUCCUGCUGCAUGGUGGGGGUUGGAAAGUUUCGGCGGUUGGGGAUGGACUCGCGGCUUAUCAGCUUGUUGGUGGGGUAGUGGCUUACCAAGGCUUUGACGGGUAGCCGGCCUGAGAGGGUGACCGGCCACAUUGGGACUGAGAUACGGCCCAGACUCCUACGGGAGGCAGCAGUGGGGAAUAUUGCACAAUGGGCGGAAGCCUGAUGCAGCAACGCCGCGUGCGGGAUGACGGCCUUCGGGUUGUAAACCGCUUUCGCCUGUGACGAAGCGUGAGUGACGGUAAUGGGUAAAGAAGCACCGGCUAACUACGUGCCAGCAGCCGCGGUGAUACGUAGGGUGCGAGCGUUGUCCGGAUUUAUUGGGCGUAAAGGGCUCGUAGGUGGUUGAUCGCGUCGGAAGUGUAAUCUUGGGGCUUAACCCUGAGCGUGCUUUCGAUACGGGUUGACUUGAGGAAGGUAGGGGAGAAUGGAAUUCCUGGUGGAGCGGUGGAAUGCGCAGAUAUCAGGAGGAACACCAGUGGCGAAGGCGGUUCUCUGGGCCUUUCCUGACGCUGAGGGGCGAAAGCGUGGGGAGCGAACAGGCUUAGAUACCCUGGUAGUCCACGCUGUAAACGGUGGGUACUAGGUGUGGGGUCCAUUCCACGGGUUCCGUGCCGUAGCUAACGCUUUAAGUACCCCGCCUGGGGAGUACGGCCGCAAGGCUAAAACUCAAAGGAAUUGACGGGGCCCCGCACAAGCGGCGGAGCAUGCGGAUUAAUUCGAUGCAACGCGUAGAACCUUACCUGGGUUUGACAUGGAUCGGGAGUGCUCAGAGAUGGGUGUGCCUCUUUUGGGGUCGGUUCACAGGUGGUGCAUGGCUGUCGUCAGCUCGUGUCGUGAGAUGUUGGGUUAAGUCCCGCAACGAGCGCAACCCUUGUUCACUGUUGCCAGCACGUUAUGGUGGGGACUCAGUGGAGACCGCCGGGGUCAACUCGGAGGAAGGUGGGGAUGACGUCAAGUCAUCAUGCCCCUUAUGUCCAGGGCUUCACGCAUGCUACAAUGGCUGGUACAGAGAGUGGCGAGCCUGUGAGGGUGAGCGAAUCUCGGAAAGCCGGUCUCAGUUCGGAUUGGGGUCUGCAACUCGACCUCAUGAAGUCGGAGUCGCUAGUAAUCGCAGAUCAGCAACGCUGCGGUGAAUACGUUCCCGGG